rnacentral:rRNA from 1 species
UACGUAGGUGGCAAGCGUUGUCCGGAUUUAUUGGGCGUAAAGAGCGUGUAGGCGGCCAUGCAGGUCCGUUGUGAAAACUCGAGGCUCAACCUCGAGACGCCGAUGGAAACCGUGUGGCUAGAGUCCGGAAGAGGAGAGUGGAAUUCCUGGUGUAGCGGUGAAAUGCGCAGAUAUCAGGAAGAACACCCGUGGCUAAGGCGGCUCUCUAGUACGGUACUGACGCUGAGACGCGAAAGCGUGGGGAGCGAACAGG